CGCCGGGCCGGGACAGGGGCUGCAGCCGGGGCCGGAGCCCCCCCCGGAGCCCCUCGGGGCCGGGCACCCUCCCGCGGGGUCCCCGCGCCCCCCUCGCUGUCAGCCUGCACGGAGGCACGGCCGCCCGUCGGGUGUCCAGCAUCAGAGCCACAGCCUUCGAGUGCUUUGUGAUUUACAUCUGCGCUUCCCGUGCUCUUACUGUGUACAAAUACGGGACUAAACGCGCUCGUUUAGGUGCACACGUCCAAGCUGUACGCGGUCACAGGCACAGCACGAUGCGCGUCCCAUGCACAGCGGGUGGAGGGCCAGCUCCUGCAGCCGGCACAGGGCAAGGACCGCAGGAAAUGCCACGCAGUUACCUGUUAUCUGCAGCCUUAUCCUUCCACCUGCCUGGGGGGGGCGGUGGGAAUUUGAACAUUUCGCAGGGAGAUCUUUCAGCCGGGGCACGUGAGUCUGUCCGGCUCCAUCGCGUGGGGCACGGGCUGAGACCGACUGCUCCAGGCUAACUGCUGGGAUGGCUCGAACUGAUUUUGGCAAAACGGGCUUGUUUUUGUGAAAUCUGUACCUUUAUCUCAGGUGGACAGAAGCAGAAAAUGAGAAGGAUGUAACAUGGGGCAUAGGAGAAAGGAUGACACAGUGUGACUGCACUUGGGUGUCCUCAUGUGGACUCUCCUUUUUAACAAAGGCAGACACUGCCAGAACACACACACACACACACAUACAUAUAUAUAUAUAUAUAUAUGUAUUUUUUUUCAGAAGAACCUGGAUAGACAACCUCAGGAAAGAAGCAGAUUUUUUUUUUUUUGGAGUGGAAAGGCAGCUGUAGUGAUUUUGCCCAGGGGGAGAUGACAGCACUGAGAUGCAAGUAUAACAGAGUGAUCCUCAAUAGCAGCAAUCAGAACCAUGCCUGGUGCUCAGCAGAGAGAAGCCAUAGCAAUAAUAGGAUAAUAUUAGAAUAACAGAAACAAUAACAGAAUAAAAGGAUAAAACGUAAAACUAACACUCUGAGUGACUCAUAUCAAGGAUUUGUUUGCAAGGCGCCAAAGGCCAGAAACAAGCAGACCAGAUCAGCUCAGUACUGCAGACAAGCCUGGUGUUUUCCUUCUGGUUCAUCAGGGGCAGAUACAGCAGGGAUGGACACUCGUUUCCAUUUGUGAUAGCACAUCGAUGCACGUCCAGGAGAAAUAUUUCCUUUCAAUUCCAGACAGCUCAUGACCUGUUCCCUGCAGACAGAUCAGCUUUCCUUUUGUUCCCCUUUACCUAGCUGAACUGAAACACCGACUAUUCCUAAAAUCACCUGACCUUGAUGGAAUGCUACAUUUACUUAAUAAUAUAUUUUCAGCAGGCUUUCUGAAAGUUAGUCUUGCUUGUAAUUUUUAAUUUUGUGAUUUUAUUUGAUGUUGUCCUUUUUUCCUUGUAUCAUGUCUAUUCCUUAGCAGUGUCCAAAAGACCUUUUUGUGCUGAUCACUGUUAUAUGGGUUUACUCUUGACAAUGCAUCUAGUUAUAUCUUCAGAGUGAAAUACAAGAAAAUUCCAAUUGUUUUUUCUCAUCUUAAAGUUUCUAAGCUUUCUGUCUUUACUGCCUCUUACUGAUUUUUGUUAUGUUUUGUUUUGUUUUGUUUAGUCUUUGUAUUUGAGUGUCAGUGUGACUUUUCAGAAUGUACAGAGUAUCCUUACAUGCUCCCAUGGAAGUUGCUAAUUAAUGCCUUACAAACUCACUGCUUGACAAUCCAGCACAAAGCACAGCAUUCAAGAGGAGGAACUAAAAUUUACACAAGGCAAUUAAAAUGCUUCUGCUACUAGAUGCUGUAGCAGAAGACAGAUGGCUGCAUCGUGAUGUGCAAAACCUUCUUAGUGGGUACCCUCAAAACUAUUAACAAAACCUCAAAAUAGUGGGUACCCUCAAAACUAUUAACAAGGGAUCUUGAGUUCCUAUAGCUCUUUAAGAGAUGGGUUUUCUGUUGUCCAUCAAGACACGAACACUUCACCCAUUUUUUGGCUUAUUUCUUGUUAAGUAUUUUUGUACUGAGCAUUUGCUGAAGUUAAAGGGUCAGUAAGUGCUUCCAUGUCUCUUCUCCACAGUUUCUGUGAUACAUUAGUGAUAUCUUCAAGAGCCUACAUCAAAAAUACCAGGCUUCAGAAGAGAGGUGUUUUUUUUUUUUUUUUUUUUUUUUUUUUCCCACGUAUUUUCAAAUAAAAAGUCACUACCGGCUUCACCAAGAGGUUGAAUAGGAGAAAAUGAAACCAAAGUGCCCCGUGCUCUACUUGAAUUGAACAGGUAGAGCAGGACAUUGAUAUCCUGCUGUUCAUGUUUCUCAUAACUAAACAUUGCUUUGAGAAUCUACACGUGACACCAAAGAGCACUGGCACACAGGAACAACCUUUGCUUUUGCUGCAUCGAAAUUUUCUUUGGUUCUUUGCCAGCAGGGAACCACAGAGAUGUUGGGGAUUUUUUUGUGAAAAGCUCUGGGGAUUGCUCAUUUUCUUUCCCUAAAGGCAGGCUUGCAUCAUUUUUAAACAAGACUAGGAUAUGUAGUAAUAGACUCAAAUUUUCUGCUUGAGCAUAUCAUAUGCAAAUACCAUGAAUUUCCAUGCCUUAGGCUAAAUUAGAGGUUUAGAGGAAAAAUUCUUAGCUUUAAUUUAUGUUCUAAUUUUCAACUUUAUCUGUUUAGUCUUCAGAAGAGAAAUCGUGCCAUGGUCUUCUCUAGUCAACCUUCAGGCUGGCUAGUAUGUGGUCCCAAGUUAAAGAGGCCCUGGAGAUAACUGUUCUUGGGGAAUAUCCAAAUAUCACAGGUCACCCUAAAUAGACAUGUCCCUGCCAAAUCAUAAUGAUUGCAGACAGAUACCCAUAUAUACACCUUUAUGAUUCAAAGUGGUUUUAAGCAGCCAUUUUAACUCUGGAAUGGGAUUAAGGUAGCACUCGUCAGUCACCCUAGACUUGCCCCAGUAGUACUUUUCUGCUGUGGCUGCACUGAUAAAUGGCAUCAGUAAGUGAUUUUAUAAACCUUUCUCAUGGGAGGAAGGUAGUUUGCACUUUGCCUCCAUCAUGGUGCUGCACACCUUUUCAUAUGGCUACAUGAGGCACCAGAGCAGAGAACUGGUCAAGUUACAAAUUCUCCCAUAUUUUGUCUUUCACAAGCUCAGCACCUGCAUACUAACUGCAUUUGGCUUCUUCAUGACCAUUGCCCACUCUCGUGUGUACACAAUUUUGACUGAAGAUCCCUUUUUUAUUAUGAGUUUUGUGUUUUGAAUUGAUGGAUUGUGCUUCUAUAGAAAGUCUCUGUCUGCUUUUGAAAGUAAAUUGACUGUAAAUUCUGCUUGUGUUUAAACAACUUCUUGUUUCCAUUUGAGCUCUCUUCUAAGUAUGAAAGAUGAAAAUUCAAAGACAUUAUAUGACUAAAGAGAAGAGGAAGGUUUUUCAGUCAUCAGGGAAGAUGAUGAAGCUGAAAAGAGAAAACAGUGAGCAGUUAGAGUAUAUCAGAGGUACUGAAUGGUGUAACUAUUUGUUAUUUUUACUGUUGAUCAUUUUUUAACAUAGUAUGUUAGAAGUAGAUUGUGUUUUACAAAACAUUCAAAAGGUAAGUUCUUCCGCACAGCUUGCUCAAUGCGAAAGGAGAACAAAGGGGUGUCAAUGUUUAGCUAUGAAACAAUCACACUUCUGAGUGCAUGCCAAGUCUAGUUCAGUUCUGUAAGCAUAGGAUCUCUUUCAAUCUUACAUAAAAAUUUGAUAUGUUGUUAAUGAGACCCUUGUAGAUCUAUUUACCUACAUUCAAGUCUAUUUUUUUGUGACCAUGACCGCUUUAUAAGGCUGUUCUCUCACUCAGUCUGACCUCUAGCCAUGCAUCUUCAUUCUGUUUUACUUCAUGACUGUUUUUCUGCAAUGUUGUAAGUUACCUAACCCAAGUCGUAUAAUCAUCCUCUUGUGUUUUUCUCCUGGAUAGCAGAAGGUUCUUUUUCAACUGACAGCUGAAGUUGAACAGUGGUUAUUUUUAUAAUUGUAUGCAAAAUUAUUCAAGAUAUACUACUUCUUAGGCUUGAGAGAGCUUUACUUCUACAUCAGAGCUUAGAAUAUGGAGAGAUGUUUAAAGUGGAAGUAGGUGUCAUUUUUAUAUCCAAUCUGAGUGUAAUGAGUCAUACAGACUGUCCACAUAGAGGGCUAUCUUUUACUUAUGCUACAAGGUGGUAGUAAUGCUUUACUGGACCACUGAUAAAUGUAUCAUAACUCCAUUGCCAGAAUCAGGCUGCAAGAAUUUAGUGCAUCUCCCUUUGGGAGAUAACAUUCAAUAGUAAGUUAUAUGUCUUGGAUUUUUUUCAUAGGAGAUGAAUAACUAGAAAAACAAGACACACUAUGCACCUGCUCCAACAGAUGUGCAGUUAUACAAAGGUUUUUGGAGCUCAAGGAUCCUGUAGUGAUAUAGGGGAACUACUGAGGAGUUUGCCACUAUGGUCAUACCUUUGGCCUUACAGUCCUGUCAAAAAAUCUUAACAUCACUGCUCAGAAACUGCCUUAAGCAACUUCCUCCUUGCUGUGAAGGUUUUAACAAAGCCCUUUAUUGUUCUAUACUGAAUUUGCUAAAGGGAAUCUACUCACUAUAGUGGGAGCCCUUUGUAAUUGCACGUCAAAACACUAUAACAGCAAGGAUUAAUAGGUUGUGCUGGAUCUGUAAUCUUCACUCUUCCCAUACUGCUAUUAUUGAAACAAAAGUAUCCUGAGGGGGCAAGCUGGCUAUAAAGACUUUGAUCCAGUCAUCAGAGGGUUCAAAUGGUCUAGGUCCAACUAGAUCUUUCCACCAGGUGGCCAAUUAGAGGGCUAGGUGGUUUUAGUUUAGAUGGCUCAAUGGGGAUAUGGGAGAUGUUGAAUCACAUCUCUUUCCUAUCCAAAGGGAUUGGGAACCCAGAUUUGCUACUUUACAGGAAAGUUCUCCAACUCCUAAAAGUAAUCAUGGCCAUCAGGUAUUUUCCAUUCUGUCCUCUUAAAGUGAACUAUUUUUCAUCAGAUAGAAGAGGUCAGGAAUCAAUGUGCUGCCUUGGUGGGCUGGCCUGUAUUUCAGGUAAUGUUUGCCACAGUGUAUAACACAAGAAAUGUAGCCCUUGGGCAGAAAUAGAAAGUGAUUCCCAAGAAAUCUUGUGACCUCAGAGCUGUUGAGUAAGCCUGGGCAGGACUGAGGACCCACAGUAUUGUCUCUGCUUCCUCCAUAGGUUGCGUUUGGGGAGGAAGAGCUGGUUUGCACACCCAAACCCAGGAUAAGUUCAGUGUUGGCUGCCUGGGAGAGAGGGAUCUGCUUUCCUGAGGGGGAAAAGCUCCUCUCCUUGUUGUUUCUUUUGCGCUGGUGCAAGAGCUCCUCAUGUUUUUUGACUGUCUCUCACUUAGCCCUUUGCAGGGGAACAUCAUGGCUCUGUCUGCCCCAGUCAGGUGCUGCUUGGUGUAAAGUCCCCUGGUAUCACUCGUUCUGAAUGUAGCGAUUCCCCUGCUGGUUUUAAAAAUACAUGUGAAACCAAAAGGAAAAAAAAAAAGAAAAAAAAAGAACACUAAAAAAACAGAAGCAGUCUAGAUGAACCAAUGGAGUCUGAAAAACCCUAACUCUCCCCUAUGCCUGAAAUGGUGUAUGACAGUGGCAAUUUUGGUGUGAAGAGGGAACGCGUUGGGUAUCUCCCUUGUUGUCUUUGUACCUUAGCUCUGCAGUAUCACGUCACUCCUGUGGCUCUCAUCUUCAUUGUUAUUUAUAAAGGCUCAGGUCUUGGGAUUUAUAUGGUCUACAUUUUUCUCAUGCAUCUUGCCUGGACUUGUCAGGAUGAAGUGCUUAGGCUUUUGAAACAUGUCUGAAAAUGAAGUGCAUUCUCUUUAUUCCCCAUAAAUACAACAAACAUUAGCAAACAUGAACAGAGAUGAAGGACUUAGUUCAGAAUUACAGGUGCUUUUAAAAAAUUGGUAAAAUAAACUUAUGUGUUUCAUUUCAUAUAGAAUAUAUUCCUUGGUGAGUGUUGCACUUUUCAGCUAUGUGCUAUCCACGUUUCCCAGUCAGCCCAGGUGCCACAUACCUAUCUAGUGAAAUCUGCUGCUUUCUGCCUGACACUUCUUAUGUGGUUCCAUAGCUGUUGUGGGUUAAUAUCAGCAAGGGAAAGCCAUUACUCAAAGGAAUGGCACUGCCAGGCCACAGUCUGACUUCUGCCACAAGUCACUUUUUCUCACCAUCUCCCAUGUGUGUUGGUAUUGACAUUUGAGCAGCUGGGGGGAGGAUCUGGUUGGAAACCAACCUGGCAAAGGAAUGUAAUAAAAACAGAUUUCAGUGGGAUCUAUUCUAUGAUAUGACUCUCUGCAUGGUUGCCCAAACAUUUGUGUCAGUGUGAUGAUGCCUGAUUCCUAGGACUGCAUAAAUAAUUAAAUAAAAAUAAAAACUGCAAAUAAAAAAACUGUCGUUAUGACAAACAUGAAGAACAUUUUACCUCAUCCCAAAAUAGCAUUUAGUUCUCACUUCUCCAAAGUAGCACAUACUCUUGAAACCAGAUUAAAAAAAUAGAAGGUUUUAAGAAAUUUAAGUGUUCAUCACUUUUCAUAACAAAAAAAUCUCGUAGCUAAAUUCAAUCUGAAUUCAUGAGGACUUCUGAUUCCUCGCGCUUUCAGCUUUCACAUUAUAUUUUGGACAUGUUUGUUAUUCCCUAAAUGGUCUUUUUAGCCAGCUCUACCCACUGCUCACAGAAAGCCACUGCACAUGUUUUAUGCUGUUGUAACUCCUGUGGUUUUGAAAGGACUCCUCUUGCCUGAUGCCCAUGAAAGAGAAAAGAAAGUCAAGCUGAAGAUUUUUGGAGUCUUAGACAACUGUUAGUACGUAUUUUGCCAUCUGAAUAGGUAAGUCCACACCUGCCAUUUUUUUAUACUAAGCAAUUUGAAUAGGUUGCAAGAUCCUUUGUACUACAAACUUCACGAGAUCCUAACCUCUAGAAGUCAUAGCUUUUGAAGAGGGUUUUGGUGUGUGGGCAGAUAGCCUAGCUACAACCUUCACUGAUCUUUGGUCUACCAAAAUCCUCUGCAGGACCAAAAGUCUGCCAAGAGUCAGCAAAGCAAAGAUUUUCUGGCUUCUUACAAUGAUAAGAAAUGUAGAAGGAGGAGAGUACUUUAACUUCCUUAGAAUUCCUUUUUGUUUCAUAUUUCAUAGUUUUCUUAUGAUGUAUGUAUAGAGCAAAUUUUGUGUAUUGUUUUAGAGAAGCAGCCACAGGGGUAAGUAAAAUAACUGCUUAUCAAAAGUGAAAAAUCAAUGUCACACAGAAGGAAAGUUGCUUUUUAAAUUUUCUCAGUGUAUGGUAAAAUUACUGUAAAAGGGUGGAUUUUGUUUACACUGAACUUAACGUCAACAUUCCUAUUGAUUUCAUUAUGAACCUGGCACUGUCUUGUAUGUAAAAGGAAAGACAGAUGAAUGGAAAAUGCGGAAAAUGAAUUCUACCAUCCCUCCUACCUUCUGUACAGUUUGUUCACUCUCACCUUAGCCGUAGUCCCUCUCACCACGAUUUGAGAAAACAUUUCUUAAAGUAGUACCAUUAGAUCAAAGGCUAGCAAGGUAAGAAACAUAUAUAACUUGUUGAGCUUUUGCAAGGAAGAAAACCAGUCAGAUGGUAUAAGAAAGGGAUAAUUUACUGGUCCCAUACAUUAGAUGACAUCUGCUUAAAAUCCCUUGUUUGCCAUUGACAAUCCCUUGUUUGCCAUUGACACUCAGUUCAUUGCCAGGGGAUGAAGUCACUCUGCCUGUUGUGCCAGUUCUUCCUUUGAAUUAGCCCCUUAAGCACUAGUAAUCUUGAUAAGCCUGGGGUAACAAGAAGAGAAUAACCUUGAAAGGUCACAAACUAUACAAUGGGAACAUGUCUCUAAAUCCUUCUAAACUGCCAUUCUCAAGUAAGGAAGAAAAAGGUCACACGAAAAUAAUCCUUACAUUACACUACAGUAAAUCAAGGCUACUGCACAGCCUUGAAGAAAAAAUGAAAUACCAGUGAAAUUUUUGCCUUACCCUUAUUUUCUUCCUUUUUUUGGGAUCUGGAAUGGCUUUAUUAAAUCCAAAGUAGUAAUUUACACAAAAUAGAAAAUAUUACUUUUUCACUGUAAAUGCUCUAAAAAAAUCAGGAAUGGCUCCUGGUGUUUCUAGAUUGCAGGACAUCUGUGAUAGCUGACUGGCUUUCUCAGUUUGCUCAGAAAUUGAAUUGUAAAUGAGAGUCUAGAAUGUUUCCUGCUAAAAUUGGGCACAUCUAAAGAGAUGUUAGAUUAGAAUUUUACUGUAUAUCACCUGACAUGUAAAUGAUCAUUACAGGGAACCAUCAGCUCCUGGUGUCCCUUGCCCUGGAGCUUGGUAGCAGUGUUGAUGAUGUUACACCUCAAACAGAAGUGCCCUGGGGCCAGGGACUGCCAUCAUCAGGGCCCAGUCACCAUGAUAUACUUCCACAAAGUAGAUAACUAACAAGCCACAAUGACUGUCUUUCUGAACCACAGCUUCAUUGUCUUGAAUAUUGUCCUCAGUGGCAUAGAUCUCUUCUUCCUGAUGCAGAAAAGAAGACUAAAUUCUUCAGCUCUACUAUCUGUAUCUGUACCAUAGACACUAAAUAUUACAUUACAGUAUUAUAUUACAGUAUAAUUUCAGCUGUACCAUACAUCAGCUAUACUGGCAGUGACAAAAGCACUCCCUGGGAGGAGGGGGGAAACUGGAGCUGGUUGGCCAUCUUGGGGCAUUCCCACCACUCUGUGGUUCAAGCUCCAUCCAGAUAAUCCACAGCAAAGCUGCCAAAAACUCAACAUGUUGUUUUACAGACCCAGAGCAAAGAGGAAUCUGUUCCUGUCUCUGCUGUGGUGCUGACAGUAACUAUAAUCGUACUCUGUUUUGUAGUGGAGAAACUCUUGCACAGGGAAGCAUCUCUAACAGAAGUUUUAGUCUUGGCUCUGAAAGGAGCCACACAGUGGUCUUGGGCACUUCACAUGGUCUGGAGUUAUUCUUAAAUAUUCACCAAAGGGUCACUUUUUGAAUGCUGUCUUGAGAUGUACUUCUAUUCACGUUUCCAUUUCUCCAGCUUCUUGCACAGUAUUGUCUUAGAUGUGGAAGAUCUUCGAAUAGUAGGUGGCUGCACCGUGUUUCUGAGAGUCUUGUUGUCACUGGUGGUAAUGCUAUGCCUACACAGCAGUGAAGCAUACGAAGACAUCCACAGGACCAGGGUUCCGCUAUAUAAAGCUAUUUUUAAGGUGUCUCUUUUUCAGGCAGAAUUUUAUGCAACAUAGGAAGAAUAUGUUAAAUGUUUCCUGGAAAUAAAUGGAAUCUUUCCAAGAGCCUGAGCACCAGAAGAAAAAGAAAUGCAAUACGCUGACAUAAAAGAUCAUGCUUAGGCAAAGAAAACAGUUGGUUUUAGUUCAUUGAUGUUUUGGGGAGCAAUGUUGAACCUUUGACCAAAACAAAGGAAUGACACUGUGACUGAGUGAGCUAACUGACCACACUUGCCAAACAUUGGACAUCAGAAGCAAUAACUUCAAAGCAGUGCACUAAGAUGCCAAUGGUUUGCUUGGUUUCAAUGGAAAAAGGGAAGAGCAAACACCAUCCAUUGACCAGAAAUCAAAUGUACCUGCUAAGAGAGAAAAGAAGAAGCUGCAAGUCUUUCUUGCUGAAGUAAGUUGACCUUAUUUCCUGGGAAGCCUGUGAGGAGAAAAAAAGGAAUGUUAACCGCCUUAUCUCUCUUCCCAAUUUCCUAAGCCCUAUUAUCUGAUUUGCACAGUCUCAAGAUGACUCACUCAUCUGAAGCUUGGUGUUCGGCGCCUCUUGAGAGCCAUGGUUGGUCAGUAUAGCAUAAGUGUGCUAAAGGAGAAAUGCAAGAGGAAAUGGUUGUGAUUUCUCGAGAGCGAGAGCUGGAGCUGUUGUUCAAAGCUUUCCAAGAUUGUGCAGGGUCCUCUCCUGCUUCCUUUUUCUAUGAAAGAAACUGUGAUGAGCUGCACUGCAUCCUGAGCAUGAAGAAGUGGUGAUCCCUGGCUGACUCAGUGGCUGCUAGCAGUAGCAAUAUCACUGUAAUUAAUCAGUCAGUCAGUCCCCAGUAGAUUACCUACAGUCAUUCUCUUUGUUGUGCAGGCAGGGAAUUGAAGGUGCAGGGAAGCUGCUUUGUCCAAAGACAUAAGGAAUGAAUGUCAAAGCCCCCAGGAAAAUCCUUGAGGCCAAAUGCUAUUUUCAAAAGUACACAUUACAAGUUAUUUACAUCUUAGAAAUUAUUUAACUGAUGUUUCACACUCAUCUUUACUGAUUUUUCAAGCUAUGUGACAAUUUUAAUUUUGAUUGUCUAAUGUUCAAAUUAGAGGUAAGAAAACCCGAAGGCCUGGAGGUUAAUCAUAAAGUGCAAUGAACCUGAACCCAAGGGUAACUUGCUGCCUGUUUUCUACAAAUGGUGUUUCAAUGACUAGAGUUUCUUAAAGAAAUAAACAUACUAUGAUGUUUCA